UGUGUUACAGAAUUUUUAAAAGGUACUUAUUAAUAGGAGCUAAUAAUAUACAAUGGGUCUAGGCCUGAUCAUUAAAACUGUUCGUAUUGCAAAUAUGCAAGACCUGCUUUAAAAUCUGUAAUAGGCUGAACCUUUUAAAUGUAAAUUUGUUCUAUUUAUCUGGUCACAACCCAGUGAGUGGAAUCCAAUAACUCACUAGAUUAAAGGAUAUAAAGGAUUAUAUAUCAGAAGGUAAUUACAAUUAGCUAAUGUCUGGAUGGUAUUUAAUAUGCAUAUUGGGUUAUUUCAGUGAGAUGUGACAUAGGAUGAUAUUUACAUUGCCAUUUCUUUUUGUUUAUAUGAAUGAAAUUUACAGCUUGGUAAGGUAUGCAGGCAUUACAUCAAAAAUGAUAGAAGACCAUUUAAAGUCGUGUGAAUUAUUGAUAUAAAUUCAUUUUGUUUUAUUUCAUGCACUAUUGCUUCUUGCAGUAUCGCCACAAGAACAGUGCAGUUUAUAAAGAAAAAAAAAGAGAGCGAGUGAAAUGGUCUAAUUUAUUCACAAUUGCUUUAAAAUGCUAUUGGAAUUGUCUCAUGAUUAUGUGUGCACUAAAGGAAUUGUCCAAAAUAUAACAGCAUGGGUAAACAGUAAAAGAGCUUAAAAAAGAGGUAAUUUGGAGAACUGGUAGACUGAAGUACU